rnacentral:tRNA from 1 species
GGGCGGUUAGCUCAGUUGGCUAGAGCGCGUCUUUGACGUAGACGAGGUCAUAGGUUCGAAUCCUAUACCGCCCACCA